AGACGGUACCUUCAAAGGAAGCGCCGGCUAACUCCGUGCCAGCAGCCGCGGUAAUACGGAGGGCGCAAACGUUGCUCGGAAUCAUUGGGCGUAAAGCGUACGUAGGCGGCUUAUCAAGUCUGGUGUGAAAGCCCGGGGCUCAACCUCGGAAUGCCACUGGAAACUGAUAAGCUUGAGAGUGAGAGGGGUUAGUGGAAUUUCUGGUGUAGGGGUGAAAUCCGUAGAGAUCAGAAGGAACACCGGUGGCGAAGGCGACUGACUGGAUCACAUCUGACGCUGAGGUACGAAAGCGUGGUUAGCAAACAGGAUUAGAUACCCUGGUAGUCCACGCCGUAAACGAUGUUCACUAGCUGCUGGGGGCCUUGGCGCUCGCAGUGGCGAAGCUAACGCAUUAAGUGAACCGCCUGGGGAGUACGGUCGCAAGACUAAAACUCAAAUGAAUUGACGGGGGCCCGCACAAGCGGUGGAGCAUGUGGUUUAAUUCGAUGAUACGCGAGGAACCUUACCCGG
rnacentral:rRNA from 1 species